GAGGCAGAGUCUUGCUCUGUCGCCCAAGCUGGAAUGCAAUGGCAUAAUCUCAGCUCACUGCAACCUCUACCUCCUGGGUUCAAGCGAUUCUCCUGCCUCAGCCUCCCGAGUAGCUGGGACUACAGGUGCACGCCACCACGCCUGGCUAAUUUUUGCAUUUUUAGCAGAGACUGGGUUUUGCCAUGUUGGCUAGGCUGGUCUCUAACUCCUGACCUCAGGUGAUCCGCCCACCUCAGCCUCCCAAAAUGCUGGGAUUACAGGUGUGAGCAAUCCUGCCCGGCCUGCUAUAUUCUCUUUAAUAUGAAAACAGACUUUUAUUUUUUUUAAAGGCUCAUGGCUGUAUAUAUUUAUUUUGGGACAAGCAUAGUAAAAGGAGAAAUGUUCCCAACUAAUCUUGAUUUUUAAGAGUAUCGCCACAUUAAAAUCAACUUUAAAAGAAACAAAAACAACAUUCUGUAAGCAUUAAACUUAAAUGGAAGCAUAUCCCUCAAAAUAACUGACCUACGUUCUUCAAAAAUGUGAUGAUCAAGUGACACAAAGAGAGCCUAGGGAACUGUUCCAGAUAUAAGAUUACAGUCCAUGCAUGGUUCUCGAUUACAUUCUGUAUUAACAAAAAAAAUUGCUAGGAAGAGUAUUAUUGGAAUAUGUGAUGAAACUUGAAUAUGAACUGUCAACUACAGAACAGUAUUACAUCAGUGUUACAAAUUUCUGAUUUUGCUCUCUGUACUGUGGUUAAGUAAGAGUAUCCUAGCUUUUAGGAAAUACAAUGAAAUAUUUAGGAACUAAGGAGCACAGUGUCUCCAACUUAUUUUCAAGUGGUUCAGGAAAAAAAAGUAUUUAUAUUUUAUUUUCUUGAGACAAGAUCUUGCUCUGUCACCCAGGCUGGAGUGCAGUGGAAUGAUCAUAGCUCAUUGCAGCCUUGACUGCCCAGGCUCAAGCAAUCGUCCCACCUCAGCCGCCCAAGGAGCUGGGGCUACAGGUGCAUGCCACCACACCCAGCUAAUUAAUUUUUUUUUUAGAGACGGGGGUCUUACUUUGCAGCCCAGGUUGGUCUCGAACUCCUGGCGGCUUCAAGCCAUCUGCCCGUCUCAGCCUCCCAAAGUAUUAGGAUUACAGGCAUGAGCCACCACGCCUGGCCAAAAUGUAUGUAUGUAUGUAUGUAUGUAUGUAUGUAUGUAUGCAUGCAUGCAUGUAUGUAUUUAUUUCAGACGAAGUCUCACUCUGUCACCAGGCUGGAAUACAGUGGCGCAAUCUCGGCUCACUGCAGCCUCCGCCUCCUGGGUUCAAGUGAUUCUCCUGCCUCAGCCUCCCAAGUGGCUGGGACUACAGGCGUGUGCCACCAGCCCAGCUAAUUUUUGUAUUUUUAGUAGAGACGGGGUUUCACCAUGUUGGCCAGGCUGG
rnacentral:lncRNA from 1 species